CUUCUCAGGUUUACGAUAGAGACUUGACUUCUUCUGAUUUUAUGGGUUCAGCAGUCCUAAUACUUCACAAACUGGAACUAAACAGGACUACUGAGAGGAUUCUUAAACUGGAAGACCCAAACAGCUUGGAGGAUGACAUGGGCGUGAUUGUGCUGAAUUUAAGACUUGUUGUGAAGUCGUGCGAUAUUAAAAGAAAUCGAUGGCCAAACCGAAGGAGAUGCUCUGUACCGAAGGUAACACAUUCUUUGUCCCCAUAGUUCUGUUAUUG